ACUAGAGAGAACCAAGUAUCCAUAUUCUCUAAAGUCUUCCAAGGUGUUUUGGUGAUUUGUGAUUCCAUUUGAGGCUUCCACACUAUUGGGGCUAAGCUCUUAAAGCUUGAAGACAUCAAGCUACACCAAAAGGUAUGUCAUCUAACUAGUCUUUGUAGUAUAGUUACCUCAUAGUAUGCUAGUUAGGAUUAAAGCCUUGGAAAGUUCUUAUUUGCAUGUAUAAUAGAGAAAACAUAGAUCCAAGGUUUAUAGGGUUGCAUGUACACCAUAGGAGUGUUAGAAUGCUCAAAACCCAACAGUGGUAUCAGAGCCAUGGGUUGUUUUCUGUUAUAUUGAUGCAAAUGUUUUAUUUUCAAAGUUGAAAAAAAAGGAAAAAAAAACAUGACGUUUGUCAAAUUUUAAGAUAAUUACUUUUUUUUGUGAAAAACUAAUUAUUUGUAAAAUUUGAAUCAUUUGCUAUAUGAGUUGAAUUAGGUCAAAUUUAGUAAAGGAUAAAAUGAUAUGAUUAUUUUAUUAGUUUUAAAAGUUUGAUCUAAAGAGUUUUUUGAAACCUCCAUAAGUUAUGGAUAUGAAAAGGUUUAAAAAAAAUUGAUUCAAAGUUUUUAUGGAGUUACAAAAUUUGGUGUUAAUGUUUUAAAGAAUUCCAUAACUUAUUCUUAAGUUAUGGAACAUGAAAAGUUUCAUCAUAAAACAAACAUUUAACUCCAUAAGUUAUGGAUUACCAAAAGUUUUAUGUUUCCUUGUUUUAUGAGUUAUUUUUUAGAUUAAUGAAAAAUAUGUGUUAGAUGUUUUCAAUCCAAAUUAAUCUAAAAGUUGUUCAUAAAAUGUGUUUUUGUAACUUGUCCUCAAGUUAUAUGAAAAGUCACAUUUAUGAAUCUUAAAAACUCAUAAAAAUGCCUUAGGUUAUAAAAAAAAUGAAGAGUCUUUUCUUAUAAAUAGUUUUUAUGGCUCCAUAACUUGUCCUCAAGUUAUGGAUGUCCAAGAGUCUCUUCAUUAAAAGUUUUAAUACUUUAAUUAAAACUCAUAAGUUAUGAAAAUCCAAGAGUUUUGAAUAGUUUCAAAACUUGCCCUCAAGUUUUGGAAUUUGAAAAGUUUUCUUUUAUGAAUACUUUAAUUCCAAGUUAAGCCCUUAGAAUUUUAAAGAGUUAAAAUUCAACCCUUAUACUUUAUAAUAUUAUAAGUUAAUAAUAUUUAUAUAUAUGUAUAAGAGUAAAGUCAGUCUUACCGUUAGUAGGCCUCAUUCACGAAGCCGGUCUAUAAGGGGGGUAUAAGGUUACUGCCUAUAAAAUGGCAGUUUAAUGGGUGUCCACUCUCACCCACCGCUUCCUUGACUGGUGGAGGGUCGUUAGCCGAACGGGUUUGACAGGACUAUAAUUCUCCCUUCAUUAAAAGUAUUAAUGAUAAAUACUAAGUAACUAAACUCUUAAUAAUACCCAAUCUUAGUUACUUAGGAAAAUGUGAAUAAGGUGCUAAUCCAUGAAAUUACACUUUGCACUUUGUUUAAGUCGGUUAGUGGAGCGUGUGUGGUUAACCGGCACACUAACUCGUAUUUAACAAGGUAGGCAAAGGGUAACUUAAUGUUUAUCAUAGUAUCGAUGGAGCGUGUGUGGUUAACCGGCACAUCGAUUGAGGGGUAAACACUUAAGGGUACCAAGUAAUUUGCAUGGUUACUUCACACCUUGUUUUGUGAUCCUCGGCAUCCCAGUCACAAAACCUGAAGGGCACACUCGAGAUUGAAACAUGCCAUUGAACAGUUCAAUGAAUCUCAAAAGAUCUAGGAGUUUCAAAACCAAUUAAAACCUAAUAAUACAUUUCGUUUAUCUUGGUGGAAAUUGGUGAAUCGUCAUUCACCUACCUUCAAAUAUUUUAUAGCUUGGAUUACGGCAUACCUCUUCUAAGUUAUAAAAUAGUUUGUUGGGUCCUAGCCUUAAUAUUUCAUAUUGGGUGUCAUAUUAAGGACUUUAAAUCAACUAUCUUGAAUAUCUCCCAAAAGAUGUCUGGUUUAGACACCUAUGAUCUUCCCAAAUCUCUUGAAACAAGGUUUCCUAAUGAAGAUGAUGUCCCAUGGAUAUCAUACUUCUUCACCUCUUCAAAUUAUUCUCCCUAACCCACAAGUUCUUGAAAAGUUUAAGGUCACUCAGGCCCUAUUGGCAAGGCAAGGUCUAGGUGUGGUCACAUCUUGGAGAUGUAGUCACAUAUUGACAAGCCGGGAGAGUUGGGUGUCAAAGUCUUGAGAAAGUUGGUGGUUCAAUCACUUUCUAAGUCACAUAGUGAGUUCCUUUGGGACACCUAUGAAACAGACUAUGACAAGACCCUUAAUGAUCUUAUCUAUUUGUUAAGAUCAACUUCCUUAAAACUUGAUGGACAUUGACAAUAGUGACACAGGAAAUCCAGAAAAGCAUUCUCUUCCCAAUGGAAAGGGAUCGGCCAUAGUCAACUCGGUUGACCAAAUGGUAAAGAGAAAAGCUAAGUCUGUGAUAGUCCCGUGUACCAUUAUCAAAGGGUCCAUAUGUUUAUAUUGCCAAAGGAAGGGGCAUUGGUUGCGAAGCUGCCAAAUUUACCUAAGGAUGUUAAAGUCAAUAAGUUUGACUCUACUUCAGGUAAAGUCCACUAUCUAACUCUGUUAAGUUUCUAUUCUGAGAUUCUUGAUACAUGAUGUGACUGGGUCACAUGGUGAUGUUUUAAGAAUCAAAGAAAAGUGAAGAAACUUAAAGAAAGAAUAUGCUGAAUCUGAUGGCGUAGAUGGAUUUCUAUCGCAUAGUUUGAAGAUCGGAUUCUUGAGCUACUUCUUAGGAGUUAUGAGAUAUUGCUUAGGAAUAGAUAACAACAAGUUUUCAUAUGGAUUGUAAGGAUAAGUUUUUCCGCAAAGUUUUAAAAUAAAAGAAAAUUUUUUUUUUUUUAUUUAUUUUAAAAUAUCCUUACAAUGGCAUUUGAGGAAAAAUUGUUGCUUAUAUGAUUCCAUUAAGAGCAAGAGUGGAAAUAUGAAAUUGAUUCUUUCAUUUGUGGUAAUGUCUAAAUUUACCAAAUAAGGAAAGAUUCUCAUCACCCAAGUUUCAAUUGGACCGGAACUUGGAAUCAUGCAAGUUGUAUAGCAUGAUGAAUGAGAACUUUCAAGUUUUGGAAAAUUAAGACUAAUUACUUGUUCACAUGGAUGUGUGAGUCAAGUAAAGGACUUAGGGAUCGAGUACACAUUCUUGUGCACUGAUUAAGUCCACCACUAAAGAUCGAUAAGAAGAAUCAAAUAAGGCAGAAGGAUAAAAGUUUCUCAAAUCUGAAAAGAUGGGAGAGUACUUUAGUAUCAGUUUUGUGAUCAUCUUAAUGAUUAAGAAACCAUAUCAAAAUUAGUUCUCUAAGGAAAUCUUAGUGCAUUCUUAUGACUAAGAAGAGGAACUUGAAUUGUUGAAAUGGUUAAAUCAAGAAGAUGAGUCAUACUUCGUUCCAAUACAAGUCUUAGAGUCAUACUCCAAGAUUGUCAUUUGAGUGACAUGUCUUAAAGAAGGUUUAAAACACUUGUCAAAUGUAAGAGUAAAAGUUUUCUACUCUUGUACAUUUGAAAUUGGUAAGUUGUGAUGUUUUGGAUAAAACAAAGACCAACUUAGGCCAAUUGGGUAAAGUGUUUUUCUUGAUUAGAAUCCGCACUAUCUCUUGGAUGUUUGACAAGGGAGUCUUAUAUGUCAAGAGGACAGUGGGAGUCUUAAAGGUCUUGAAAGUCUCAAGAAAUAAUCAAGAAUAAAACCUAAAGUUCUUCACUAGCACACAAUUUGAGGUUUAUAAUCUAUUGUGUUGACAUAUCUGUGCCCAUUCCAGUUAAAGUUGGCUUUGCAUAUGAGUUCUUAGAGUUCUCAGUUUGUUGCAUAACAACUUGGAAGCAAUGGCAGGCCCUUGAGCUGCCAGGUGGCAAGAAGUUAAGAUUGAGUUCAAUCCAUAUGGUUUUGGAUUUGUCAUUAUCUUUGUCUUGUGAUUAUGGUUUGACAAAUUCAUAUGGGUAGGAACUCAUACACCAUAUAAAUCUAAGUGUCAUAAGGUUUCUCUCCGAUUCAUGAAAAUGAUGGUGAGGAAACGCUUUCACUAAGUAGAUUUUACGAAGAUAUCAAUUGUGUUAUUUGCAUUUUCAAAAGUCGUUAGUGGAGCGCGUGUGGUUAACCGGCACACUAACAUGGACUUGUGAGAAAUGGCAAAUGCCUAAGCAAUUGAGACCAUGAUUACGGUAUCCCUUUUCAUGGUUCUUGAAAUUGCUUAGACACACAGGUGAGCUAUCUACGGAAAGGGUGUAUGAAUCUAAAUUUCAGACUGUCCAGCUGAUUUCUGAGUACAUGUCAAAGCUAGUGGGAGCAUAAGUGUUAUGCUAAUAAUCAUCAUGUUAGUGGGAGCAUGAUAAUUAUGAUAAGUAUUGCAAGUUAGCAAUGUUAAUUAUAGAAAACAAAAGUUUCAAUUGGGAAAAAGUUGUUUUGCUAUAAUUAAGGGAGAGGAAAUUAUGCUUCAUCUCAAAUCUAUAAGCUUAGAUCGUGAGGUUUUAAUCAUUUAGUCAAGGAUAUAUAUGAAUUUCAUGUUGGAAUGGCUCAACAUAAGGAAAUUCUGUAUAUGGGUCCAUUAUUUGCGUUCUAAAAUUCGAUUAUGAUUACGGCAUCCCUUUUCAUAAUCUGAAUUAUGAGAACUUGGCAAAUUGAAAUGGAAAUAUUAUAGCAAAAGACUGGUUUAGUCUUUAUGUAAGACAUCAUGAAUCGUGUCCCAUAUGCUUCGGAUAUAGGAUCGAUUACAUGUGCUAUAUUCAUCCGUUCUAAAAUUUUCCAAAUGCCUGGGGCAUUAAGAAGGGAAAAGGUUUAGAACUGGAUAUGACUAAAAGGAUUAAACAAUUGUCGAGGACAAUCUAAGGUUUACCAAAGAUUGGUUACUCAAGGACAAUUGGAAGUAUAGUGAUAAUUCUGGAAGGACCAUAUUGACAUAAUCUGUAAGGAGGCAACUCUUGUUCAGAAGUGAUAGUCAAAAUGGAAUCUGGAAAUGUUUCAAAGUUAGAAUUUUCAAUCUGUGUAAGAUUAAGGAAACUUAAUGCAAGAAGGAUAUUUCCAAGGAGUUGAUCUCCUUUGGAAUACUCUGUAAUGAUUGUUGCCAAGUCUUUGUGACUUUGUGCAUAAUCAUUACAAGAGGAUCAAUGCAUAUAAGUUUAGAAUCUAACAGAUUUCAGUAAAUGGCAUGAAUUUGGAAUUCUUGCAUUUGCAGUAAGGAUUUGGGAGUGUGAAAAGAGAAUCAUUGAAGUUAUGUUCAAUUGAUCUAGUUCACAAAGUAAAGAUCAUAGACAAACAUAGUAUGCAUACUUGGUGUGUGGCAUGACUAGUGUUUAAGAAAACAUAGUGUACAUGCUUGGAGCAUGGGACAACUAUUGUUUUAAAUUCAAGAAUAAAGUUGAUAGCUGAAACAGUAUACAAUGAAUAAUGUGUAAUCAUAUGGUGAUAAAUAAAAGGUGUUUUAUUUAUGUUCAAAGGGUUGAUACCAUAUUGGAUUCAAUUAUUAUUGUGUUUCAUUUUGCAUGUUUUGACUUCCCGAAUAAACUGGGUUAUUCUUCCGGAAUGACUAAGUUAUUCAAACCAUCCACAGUCGGUCAUAUGUUGGAAGUAGAUAUGAAUUAAGACUGUCAUGGGUUGGCUUGUAGAGGUCUAAGGUGUUGGACAAAGGGCUACAACACUCAUGAGUGCUCAUAAGUUCUGAGUAUUGGAUUCAACCCGCGCUCAUUGGAAUCACUUCAUGGAUUUUAUCACGAGUGAUCAUGAGACGAUAAUAUCUUAUAUUCUUCAAACCUAGAGAUAUGAGUUGUUACUAUGAGUUGAUAGUACAUUGAUUGCACGAAAACGCAUUUGGUAACUCGGUGCUAUAAAACGUGCCUUUGUGUAUGAUUCAACAAGUAGUAGAACAAGCCAUAUGAGUCGAAGUUUAUCCAUUCCUUUUACCUUCGGGAUAAAAGCGAUAUCUGUGGGCCCCUCGAUGAUUUGAUGAUGACAAAUGGAAGUGCUCGGCCGGGCCAGGACUGAUUUGAUUUGUUCAAUUAGUCAGUCGUCAUAAAUCGGAAAUCGGGAAACAACAAAUGGACAGAGAGAAUGAUUAUAAUCCAUGUCUCAGUCCAUAUGAUAUCUAGAAUGGAGGAAUAUAUGAUCCCUUAUCUAAUGGACAAGUCAUUGACAAAGGUCAGAGUUCAUCUACAAGGUCAGAGUUCGACAGAAGCUUUUGAGAGCUACGAUUGCCAGUUGGUUCCUGAAGUCAUACGCAAUAAUAGUUUUAGACUUAUCCAAGUGGGAGACUGUUGGAUUAAUGUCUAAGUCCAUAACUAUAUUUGGUAUGUACUUGACCCGACCCGGCAUGGUCCAUUUGGGUUGCACUUCACCGGCACAAUUUAUAUGGAUAGUAUUUUGAGAAUAGUAUAUUUAUGAUUUAUAUUAAUAUAUUAUAAGUUCUAAUAUAUUAAUAUAAUCAUAUUAUUUAAUUAGUAUUGAUCAAGAAUUAAUUUAUAAUUAAUUAAGUGAUCAAAAUGAACUAAUUAAAUAUGGACUCUUAGAUAUAUAUGUGUAGUGGGCCAAGUUCAUUUAGGUUGGGCUAAGUCUUCAUGGAUAGUCCAUGGAGCUUUAACCCAUGGAUCCUAGGAAAUGAAAGGUCAUGGGUAUUAGGGUUUAACCCUAAUCCUCCACACUAUAUAAAGAUGUCCUUGGUUGGUGAAAUGGGCACUAGUGUGGGUACACUAAGAGGGCUAGCCAAUUUCACUAGAGAGAACCAAAUAUCCAUAUUCUCUAAAGUCUUCCAAGGUGUUUUGGUGAUUUGUGAUUCCAUUUGAGGCUUCCACACUAUUGGGGGUAAGCUCUUAAAGCUUGAAGACAUCAAGCUACACCAAAAGGUAUGUCAUCUAACUAGUCUUUGUAGUAUAGUUACCUCAUAGUAUGCUAGUUAGGAUUAAAGCCUUGGAAAGCUCUUAUUUGCAUGUAUAAUAGAGAAAACAUAGAUCCAAGGUUUAUAGGGUUGCAUGUACACCAUAGGAGUGUUAAAUGCUCAAAACCCAACACGUAGCAGACUGCAGACUACGCAAAAUCGGCAGAAGAGUUACGCCGACAGGAG
rnacentral:lncRNA from 1 species